UACGUAGGGCGCAAGCGUUGUCCGGAUUUAUUGGGCGUAAAGAGCGUGUAGGCGGUUUGGUAGGUCCGUUGUGAAAACUCGAGGCUCAACCUCGAGACGCCGAUGGAAACCAUCAGACUAGAGUCCGGAAGAGGAGAGUGGAAUUCCUGGUGUAGCGGUGAAAUGCGCAGAUAUCGGGAGGAACACCAGUGGCGAAGGCGGCUAGCUGGGCCAGUUCUGACGCUGAGGCGCGAAAGCGUGGGGAGCAAACAGG
rnacentral:rRNA from 1 species